UACGGAGGAUGCGAGCGUUAUCCGGAUUUAUUGGGUUUAAAGGGUGCGUAGGCGGAUUUGUAAGUCAGCGGUAAAAAUGCGGUGCUCAACGCCGUAUCGCCGUUGAAACUGCGGGUCUUGAGUGAGCGAGAAGUAUGCGGAAUGCGUGGUGUAGCGGUGAAAUGCGUAGAUAUCAGGAGGAACACCGGCGGCGAAGGCGGCUUACUGGACUGUAACUGACGUUGAGGCUCGAAGGCGUGGGGAGCAAACAGG
rnacentral:rRNA from 1 species